AUUGAACGCUGGCGGCAGGCCUAACACAUGCAAGUCGAGCGGUAGCACAGAGAGCUUGCUCUCGGGUGACGAGCGGCGGACGGGUGAGUAAUGUCUGGGAAACUGCCUGAUGGAGGGGGAUAACUACUGGAAACGGUAGCUAAUACCGCAUAACGUCGCAAGACCAAAGUGGGGGACCUUCGGGCCUCAUGCCAUCAGAUGUGCCCAGAUGGGAUUAGCGAGUAGGUGGGGUAACGGCUCACCUAGGCGACGAUCCCUAGCUGGUCUGAGAGGAUGACCAGCCACACUGGAACUGAGACACGGUCCAGACUCCUACGGGAGGCAGCAGUGGGGAAUAUUGCACAAUGGGCGCAAGCCUGAUGCAGCCAUGCCGCGUGUGUGAAGAAGGCCUUCGAGUUGUAAAGCACUUUCAGCGGGGAGGAAGGCGAUAGGGUUAAUAACCUUGUCGAUUGACGUUACCCGCAGAAGAAGCACCGGCUAACUCCGUGCCAGCCGCCGCCGUAAGAC
rnacentral:rRNA from 1 species